AUAAUUCCAUCUGGGGAAGACGCUAUCGAUUUAAAUAAGUUCAGAUCCUUGUUGUUCAUGGUAGUGACUCCACUAAUGAAUCCCAUUAUAUACAGCUUGAGGAACACUGAAAUUAGGAUAGCAAUCCAGAAAUUAUUCAUGUUUAAUAGUGUAACCUAUUGACAAUAACGAAUAAAAAGCAAAAGGUUAACAAACAUAAUACUGCAUCUAAUCUAUUCUACCUUCGUCACUGUAUUAUUAUUUUU
rnacentral:lncRNA from 1 species